AUGGUGAGCAUCGACGUCGAGCGAAGCAGCCCGGCGCCGCCGUCCUGCAGGCAGGCGGGGCUUGAGACCGUAAAAAAGUGGCAGCGGAUUCCAUGCAGCAUGAGGAGGGCUUGGCCGGCCGUCUGCGUUGUGGCCGCGACCCUGCUCGCAGUCGUCGUGCUCUCCGCCGCCCGGGAUGGCUAUGGCUUGCCGAUGGUACCCAGCAGCUGGCUCUCAGUAGAAGAUGUACCUCCGUCCAACCUCACCACCGACCAGCUCCUGGACGGUCUGCUCACCGCAGAAUUUGGCUCGCGCUCAUGCCGGAGCCGGUACGAGUUGGCCAGCUACCAUGACAAGAAGAAGAAGAAGAAGCACGCAUCACAUAAACCAUCCCCCUACUUGCUCGCCAAGCUCCGAAAUCACGAAGCGCUCCAAAAGCAAUGCGGCCCCGGCACGGCCCCGUACAGGGCGGCGAUCCGGCAGCUCGAGUCUGGAAAUGGCAUCGUCACAGCGAAAACUGCCGCUACCUGGUCCCCAUAA
rnacentral:rRNA from 1 species